rnacentral:rRNA from 1 species
UACGUAGGGGGCAAGCGUUGUCCGGAAUCAUUGGGCGUAAAGAGCGCGUAGGCGGCCCUGUAAGUCCGCUGUGAAAGUCAAGGGCUCAACCCUUGGAUGCCGGUGGAUACUGCAGGGCUAGAGUCCGGAAGAGGCGAGUGGAAUUCCUGGUGUAGCGGUGAAAUGCGCAGAUAUCAGGAGGAACACCGGUGGCGAAGGCGGCUUUCUGGGCCUUACCUGACGCUGAGGAGCGAAAGCUGGGGGAGCAAACGGG